AAUGAACGUUGGCGGCGUGGAUUAGGCAUGCAAGUCGUGCGGAAAGGCUCCUUCGGGAGUACUCGAGCGGCGAAAGGGAGAGUAACGCGUGGAUAUCUACCCCCUGGACUGGGACAGCGGCGGGAAACUGCCGGUAAUACCAGAUAAUGUCUGCGGACCAAAGGUGUGAUUCCGCCGGGGGAUGAGUCCGCGUCCUAUUAGCUAGUUGGUGGGGUAACGGCCUAACAAGGCAAAGAUGGGUACCGGGUGUGAGAGCAUGGCCCGGCUCACUGGGACUGGGACCCUGCCCAGACACCUACGGGUGGCUGCAGGGGAGAAUCUUCGGCAAUGGGCGAAAGCCUGACCGAGCGACGCCGCGUGCGGGAUGAAGGCCUUCGGGUUGUAAACCGCUGUCAGAGGGGAGGAAAUGCAUGAGGGUUCUCUCUCAUGUUUGACCUAUCCUCAGAGGAAGUACGGGCUAAGUUCGUGCCAGCCGCCGCCGUAAAAC
rnacentral:rRNA from 1 species